GGGGCUGAUCGGUUUCGACAGCAAGAUGAAGUGGAAUGUAAGCAUGUCGGGAUAUGGAGAUGUUCUCCCGCAAAUAGAUGCUUCAAACUAUAAUUGGCGAAAAUAACUUCGCACUUGCCGCUUAAGCCUACGGAAUGUAGCUUUAGCUAAUCCACGCGUAAGACGCGGGAGCAAGUCAUCCCUCGGCGCUUAAGCCCGGAGAGCGCAGAAUCAGGGGUGUCAUUAAAUCUGGACUAACGGGUAAAGCUUUGCGUAGUGCCCGCGACAUUGUAAUCCGCAAAUAAGCCAGUACUCGGGUGUUUGUUCCCAGGUCCUGGUCGACAACUGAAUAACGAAAUAAGCAUGUAGAAAGCCUUUUACUUCCUUGUUUGCACCGGGGUUCGACUCCCCGCAGCUCCACA
rnacentral:tmRNA from 1 species